rnacentral:tRNA from 1 species
ACUUGAAUAGCUUAUUUUUAGAGCGCGACGCUGAAGAUGUCGAUGAGGCUAUUAUAGCCUUUAAGUG